CAAAGUUGUAAGUUCGUCCGAGGACUAUGCUGAAAUAUUGUCAAAACUUCGUGAGGAAGGAAUAAAAUUUGAGACUGAUAAUGGUUCAGAGCUACUUCCUUUAACAACUAUUGAGGUAGAUGAUGAGGCAAUGGACUUGAACAAAGAACUUAUGUCUAAAUUACUUGAACUUGAUGACGUUGAUGCUGUUUACACAGACCAGAAGUGAUCAAAUCCUAACUCCGGUUGCCUUCCUAUAAAUUGGGAAAGUUUGGAUGGUUCAGUGUAAGACAGUCAAUUUAUGUGGUUCACUUACACAAAAUGAGUUUGAAAUUGUUCAUGUGAUCCCGUGGGACUACAAUUUCAGAUAACUUUUCUUAAGAGGGAAAAUGGGG
rnacentral:misc_RNA from 1 species